rnacentral:rRNA from 1 species
CGAAUCUCGAAAGCCUGUCUCAGUUCGGAUUGGAGGCUGAAACCCGCCUCCAUGAAGUUGGAUUCGCUAGUAAUCGCGCAUCAGCCAUGGCGCGGUGAAUACGUUCCCGGGCCUUGUACACACCGCCCGUCAAGCCAUGGGAGCCGGGGGUGCCUGAAGUUCGUGACCGCAAGGAGCGACCUAGGGCAAAACUGGUGACUGGGGCUAAGUCGUAACAAGGUAAC